rnacentral:rRNA from 1 species
AUUGAACGCUGGCGGCAGGCCUAACACAUGCAAGUCGAGCGGAUGAAGGGAGCUUGCUCCUGGAUUCAGCGGCGGACGGGUGAGUAAUGCCUAGGAAUCUGCCUGGUAGUGGGGGAUAACGUCCGGAAACGGGCGCUAAUACCGCAUACGUCCUGAGGGAGAAAGUGGGGGAUCUUCGGACCUCACGCUAUCAGAUGAGCCUAGGUCGGAUUAGCUAGUUUGUGGGGUAAAGGCCUACCAAGGCGACGAUCCGUAACUGGUCUGAGAGGAUGAUCAGUCACACUGGAACUGAGACACGGUCCAGACUCCUACGGGAGGCCGCAGUGGGGAAUAUUAGACAAUGGGCGAAAGCCUGAUCCAGCCAUGCCGCGUGUGUGAAGAAGGUCUUCCGAUUGUAAAGCUCUUUAAGUUGGGAGGAAGGGCAGUAAGUUAAUACCUUGCUGUUUUGACGUUACCAACAGAAUAAGCACCGGCUAACUUCGUG